CGGGGGGGGCAAGCGUUGUUCGGAAUUACUGGGCGUAAAGGGCGCGUAGGCGGCCUGCUAAGUCACACGUGAAAUCCCUCGGCUCAACCGGGGAACUGCGUGUGAUACUGGCGGGCUUGAAUUCGGGAGAGGGAUGUGGAAUUCCAGGUGUAGCGGUGAAAUGCGUAGAUAUCUGGAGGAACACCGGUGGCGAAGGCGGCAUCCUGGACCGAGAUUGACGCUGAGGCGCGAAAGCUAGGGGAGCAAACGGGAUUAGAUACCCCGGUAGUCCUAGCCCUAAACGAUCGAGUGCUUGGUGUGGCGGGUAUCGAUCCCUGCCGUGCCGAAGCUAACGCAUUAAGCACUCCGCCUGGGGAGUACGGUCGCAAGGCUG
rnacentral:rRNA from 1 species